CCACCUUGUUAGUCCGCCUCUGAUUGAGAUCAUACAAAAUGCAUUCAGCACUAGAACUUUUCUUGUUUAAAAAUUUGAUAUCCAAUAUUUACCAACUCUAGUUAAUUUAGAUUUGAGCAAAGUUAGUCUACUAAGGAGUAAAAUCACUUUCCAUCUAAAGAUUUUUCAUUCACAAAGCUCAAUAACUUAAAAAUAAAAGAAUUUC
rnacentral:lncRNA from 1 species